rnacentral:lncRNA from 1 species
AUGGCAUUAAGGUCUUCCAAGAAGCAGAUGCCAAGAUGGGCUCAAAUGUGCAAGAUAUUUAUGGAAAACCACCUAUGAAGGACAAAGGAACAGAGAACAAGAGCCUUCCCCCAUGUCUAAUACCUGUGAAAGGAGAGAGAGAAGGAAGAAUUUAGUAGGAAGAGCCUGAGGUUGCUGCUUAGUUCUGAGAAAGCCUCAGCGAGGCCGAUGGAGAGCCCUUGAGCUGAGGUUGCCCAUUAGACAAAUUCUGCAUCAGGUAGUACUGGUUCUUUUCUAGUAACCUGGCCAUGCUCAGUCUUUGUGCAGGAGUAGCCCAGGAGAGCAUGGCCUGGGAUAAAUUCCUCAAUGAAUACAAAGUUGCAGCAGCUCAGCUAUGCUAGUCACAGCAGUUUCUUUUAAGGGAAAUCUGAGUAGAACACCUCCAUGGCUAUCACAGCCAACCCAGAUUGUGCAUUUGCUCAUGAACUAGAUAUGGCCACAUGAACAAUAGGUGAUAUUUCCCAGGAGACUCCUGGAGGUGCAAUGAGAUCUCUGCAGUAAGAGGUUGAAUGUGUACCUUUGGAUGUUCACAGAUGAGGGAAGGAAUCAUAAUUGGCUAACAAGAGGAGAUACAUUUGACUAUGUUAAGAGAACUGGAGGUGCUGAUCAGAAACCCACAAAUAUCUGCCAGGCUGGCAACAGACCCUAAAGAGAGGAGCCUGGGAGGUAGGCAAUAUUAUCGCUAUGUUACUGAAGAUACAACUGAGGCGUAUCUCAAGCUACUUAUGCCAGCUCUUAUUGCCUGUGAGGAUCAAGCCAAAAUCAAACAGAUUAACAAAAAACAGUUGAGGAGCAAGCUAAAUUCCUACAGGCAAUAGUGGGACCAGAGCUCAUAGGCUGGCACCAAUAGUACAGUUUGGUCCCAAGGAGAAGCAGCAAGGCCAUGCAGGGAAUCACAUAAACAGAUCAGAAACUGAAGUUUGGCUUGCUGACGUGACUUGCUCAAGGUCACAUAGCUACGAAUUGUAGACCUAGAACUAAAAACAUCCUGGCUCCUUGUCUAGUUUUUAUUGCUCUAUCCCAGGUUGUCUAGCUUAACUAACUCUUGCUUCAUGGAGCUUGUAGGAAAGGAUGCCCUGCAAAUGCAGGACGUAAGCAUCUGGGGAAUAUAUCCAAUCAUUCUUGCAUUAAAC